GCAGCUGCCGGACACCAGGAGACGAUGGAAGGUCUAUAGUGUUACAGCUCUGACCCAGGAAGUCCCAGGGUCUUGCCUUCCAGAAGGGUCGCGGCUCUUCCCUCCCUCAGUCCAACGAACAGGAGCACGUCACCUCCCGCAGCUCGGGGAGCUGGCCAGGAACGUGUUACAGCCCGUUUCGCUCCUGUCCGCAGCUGGGUGAGGCAGCCAGGAAAAUAUUACAGCUCUUCUCACGCCCGCCAUUCAGCAGGUCCUGACUUCUUGUGUGACAUCCAGAAGAAAGGGGUUACACAGACAGCUGGAGGGUGAGCAAAGUGGAGAAGUUCUCAGCAGAGAGGAGACUGGAGUGAGUUGCCCCUACCCGCAGGUGCCAACUGUAAUACAUCAGUAGCUGAACAGCUCAUUGCCCUCAAGUGUUCUUGCUCAUGCCUGGCUGAGUUAUUGAAGAAAUUGCUCAGAUCUCAAGCCCUUGUAGAUCACUGGUCCUGGCAGAUGUUAUGAGAAAUAAAGAAAACAAGAAAAGCAAGGGAAAGGAGAGAAAAAAGGAGGGAUACAGCAAGAGGGAGAAAGAAAAGGACGAGAAAAUAAAUUACUAAAGGGAGAAAAGAAAAAGAAAAAAGAAAAAGCAGAGAAGAAGUUAAUCCCCUGGUGAAUUUUUCACAGGCUAUCUGGAACUCAAAAGUUCAAUCUUUAUCCAUCUAUCACUAAGUCAACUUCUGGAACCUCUUCUUCUAGAACCAGUUAGGGAAGCCACUGAAGGAGGGUUAUAGGACAAAAUAUAUGUUGGUGUGAACUUUAAAAAAAGAAUUUGUGUUUAAGGAUGAAACUGUAAUGGUUUUGAAAUUGCACUAACCACAUUUGAUUUGAGCUGAAUCAAAAGUAGAAAAAUCAGCAAAUUCUACAUAAAAAACUAAGGAAGAGGAAGAAGAUCCAACUUAGAAAAUCCAGUGGAAUAAUAAUUCCAUUAGUAAGAUAACGAUACAGAGAGAUGAUGACACUGGAGUUUUCAGAGAGCAUUGAGGCAAUAUGUAGCUAUGGAAUUUGAAAAAAAAAAUGGUUCAUUUUUGGAAGAUUACUACAACAGUCAUGUUAGAUUAAUUGAAAUGAAGGUUGGUGUUAUAAGGCUUUAAAAAUAGUCCAACUGGAAAUACGAAAGCUUGAAAAGCAGCUUUGAAAAACAAAGACAGAGGGGAAAGGGAUGAAGAGAAAUACAACUGAGAUUUAAGAUAUAAAAUAACUGAAAUCUGGAACUAAUCAACUGUGAAAAUCAAGCAACGAGAAAGAGUUGUAAAUUAUUUUAAAAUAUCUGGCUCGAUCAACUUUGCCAGUUUUAGAGCCAGUCUUUGCAAAAAGGGAGAAACAAAACAGAUGAGACAAGAAAGGAACAUCCAGCAUGCUGUGAACCCCCUGAGACUGGCCAUGAUCUGAAAGAGUAAAGCUCUAUCCAGGGAACCUUUUCUGAAUCAUAGUGUCAGACUUCCUGCUCUUUUCAACUCCCCUGGUUUUAUCAUCUCUACUCUGUUUCAGCAAUCUACUGCCAUGGCCACAUCCUGAAUGUUGACAAUACCCUAAACUGUGCCAUUUAUAAGAUCUCUGACACACCAACCUCUCUCCUCUUACAGCUCUCAAUGAUGUAUAUGACCUCAGCUUAUUCUAAUAUGCUUACAGAUUAUACACCCGUGAUAUUGAUGGCAGUGGCUGCUGCUGUCGUGGCUGCUGCUAUCACGCCUGCUGCAACACAGAGGUGCGACUGGGGCUGCACAUUUCACGGAGGUGUUGGGAGUUCCGCCCCUUCUGAUGUGGGGAAAGAGAUCCCCAGGUGCCCCUGCAUCUGCCCAAACUGUGGCUGUGGAUCGGAGGCUCCAGGUUGGCAGGUUGGGAGCUUCCGGGUGCAGCUGCGACCGCCCUCCCAGGUGCAGGACCCUGGUGUUUCUGCAGCCUGCACCCUUGGGGGCCCCAGGAAAGACCCAUAUCCUUGCAGGCUUGGAGGUGUUUGCUUCUUCUGCCUGGCCUCUCUCGGCUCCCGGUGCAUGCUCUCAUAUCUGAGUGGGGGUUGGUGCUGAGCCCCGGGGCCGUGAAUUGCAGCAGGAGGCAGAUUUAUUCCUGGGCAGAAGGUGGCAGAUCCCAAGUAAGGGGACCUUCAAGCCAGGGAGGGCCUGAAGGCUGGUGGCUGGGCUACCAGUCCCACCGACCAGAGUGGGGAUUCGUGGGCCUCUUCUGGGCCACCCAUAGCCACCCAUGGACCAAUCAGCAAGCACAUCCUCCCCUCUGAGGUCCGUAAAAGCCCUGGGCGCAGCCUGAGCAGGGCAGAGGAAGGCCAGAGGUGAAGGAGUCAGAGAGGCGACAGGAUAGGCAGCUGCCGAGAGAAGUACGCCUCUCUGCUGAGACCUGGAGAUGACGGGAAGGCCAGAUGCAGAGAGGAGCUACCCUCUCUGCUUAGAGCUGCCAGGAGGAGCUACCAACCUUCUCUGCUGAGAGCUGCAGAGAUGACCUGCUGGCAGAGAGGAGCUACCCACUGCGGGUCUCCUCUGAUCUGUUGUAAUGCUGAAUAAAGCUUCUUUUCAUCUUGUUCACCUUCCACUUGUCUGCAUACCUCAUUCUACCCGGACGCAAGCAAGAACUCGAGCAAAGGCACAACCAGCCACAGAGGUUUCUGGCCAGAAAAUCGACACCCCAAAAGUCCUAUAACAAUCUGAUUCUAAAAGCAACAUCAUCUUUUCAAUGUAAUUCUAAAAGAAUUUGGGAUUAUUUUAUUUAAUUUCAGGAUCCCCUCUGAAGAAAAUCAACUUACAAAGGAUGGCAGGUCUUAAGAAAGGUACUUAGCAAGUGCUGGUACAUUCUAAGCAAUCAAUAUUUGUCAAUGUUCAGUAAUUGUACAAUUGUACUAGAGAAAACAAUUCCAGGGGCUUAAAAUUAUCUUAUACAAGGAUCCACUUUAUUAUUAUUUUUUCUGUUUGUUUUGGAUAAAUUACUGACUCCUUAUCUCAGUUAUGUUAUGUGUUAAAUGUUUACAGUGUUAUUUUGUAUCUCUCAAGGGCUUUUGUUAGAAUUUUCAAUGAGAUACCUUAAAACCUCUAAAAAGAAAAUGGAUGUUAUAAGUAAAUAAAAAUAAGUCUGAAUGGC
rnacentral:lncRNA from 1 species